AUUGUACGCUGGCGGCAGGCUUAACACAUGCAAGUCGAACGAUGACUCUCUAGCUUGCUAGAGAAGAUUAGUGGCGGACGGGUGAGUAACAUUUAGGAAUCUGCCUAGUAGUGGGGGAUAGCUCGGGGAAACUCGAAUUAAUACCGCAUACGACCUACGGGUGAAAGGGGGCGCAAGCUCUUGCUAUUAGAUGAGCCUAAAUCAGAUUAGCUAGUUGGUGGGGUAAAGGCCCACCAAGGCGACGAUCUGUAACUGGUCUGAGAGGAUGAUCAGUCACACCGGAACUGAGACACGGUCCGGACUCCUACGGGAGGCAGCAGUGGGGAAUAUUGGACAAUGGGGGCAACCCUGAUCCAGCCAUGCCGCGUGUGUGAAGAAGGCCUUUUGGUUGUAAAGCACUUUAAGCAGGGAGGAGAGACUAAUGGUUAAUACCCAUUAGAUUAGACGUUACCUGCAGAAUAAGCACCGGCUAACUCUGUGCCAGCAGCCGCGGUAAUACAGAGGGUGCGAGCGUUAAUCGGAAUUACUGGGCGUAAAGCGAGUGUAGGUGGCUCAUUAAGUCACAUGUGAAAUCCCCGGGCUUAACCUGGGAACUGCAUGUGAUACUGGUGGUGCUAGAAUAUGUGAGAGGGAAGUAGAAUUCCAGGUGUAGCGGUGAAAUGCGUAGAGAUCUGGAGGAAUACCGAUGGCGAAGGCAGCUUCCUGGCAUAAUAUUGACACUGAGAUUCGAAAGCGUGGGUAGCAAACAGGAUUAGAUACCCUGGUAGUCCACGCCGUAAACGAUGUCUACUAGCCGUUGGGGUCCUUGAGACUUUAGUGGCGCAGUUAACGCGAUAAGUAGACCGCCUGGGGAGUACGGCCGCAAGGUUAAAACUCAAAUGAAUUGACGGGGGCCCGCACAAGCGGUGGAGCAUGUGGUUUAAUUCGAUGCAACGCGAAGAACCUUACCUGGUCUUGACAUAGUGAGAAUCCUGUAGAGAUGCGGGAGUGCCUUCGGGAAUUCACAUACAGGUGCUGCAUGGCUGUCGUCAGCUCGUGUCGUGAGAUGUUGGGUUAAGUCCCGCAACGAGCGCAACCCUUUUCCUUAUUUGCCAGCGGGUUAAGCCGGGAACUUUAAGGAUACUGCCAGUGACAAACUGGAGGAAGGCGGGGUCGACGUCAAGUCAUCAUGGCCCUUACGACCAGGGCUACACACGUGCUACAAUGGUAGGUACAGAGGGUUGCUACACAGCGAUGUGAUGCUAAUCUCAAAAAGCCUAUCGUAGUCCGGAUUGGAGUCUGCAACUCGACUCCAUGAAGUCGGAAUCGCUAGUAAUCGCAGAUCAGAAUGCUGCGGUGAAUACGUUCCCGGGCCU
rnacentral:rRNA from 1 species